UACGAAGGGGGCUAGCGUUGUUCGGAAUUACUGGGCGUAAAGCGCGCGUAGGCGGUGAUCUUUGUCAGAGGUGAAAGCCCGGGGCUCAACUCCGGAAUUGCCUUUGAAACGGGAUCGCUUGAGUCCGAGAGAGGAUGGCGGAAUUCCUAGUGUAGAGGUGAAGUUCGUAGAUAUUAGGAAGAACACCGGUGGCGGAGGCGGCCAUCUGGCUCGGUACUGACGCUCAGGCGCGAAAGCGUGGGGAGCAAACAGG
rnacentral:rRNA from 1 species